UACGUAGGGUGCGAGCGUUAAUCGGAAUUACUGGGCGUAAAGCGUGCGCAGGCGGCUUUGCAAGACAGAUGUGAAAUCCCCGGGCUCAACCUGGGAACUGCAUUUGUGACUGCAAGGCUAGAGUACGGCAGAGGGGGAUGGAAUUCCGCGUGUAGCAGUGAAAUGCGUAGAUAUGCGGAGGAACACCAAUGGCGAAGGCAAUCCCCUGGGCCUGUACUGACGCUCAUGCACGAAAGCGUGGUGAGCAAACAGG
rnacentral:rRNA from 1 species